UCCGGUUUGUCACCGGCAGUCUCCCUAGAGUGCCCUUGCGUAGCAACUAGGGACAAGGGUUGCGCUCGUUGCGGGACUUAACCCAACAUCUCACGACACGAGCUGACGACAGCCAUGCAGCACCUGUGUUCCCGCCAGCCGAACUGAAGGAUCUCAUCUCUGAAACCCAUACGGGACAUGUCGAGGGCUGGUAAGGUUCUGCGCGUUGCUUCGAAUUGAACCACAUGCUCCACCGCUUGUGCGGGUCCCCGUCAAUUUCUUUGAGUUUUAACCUUGCGGCCGUACUCCCCAGGCGGAUGACUUAAUGCGUUAGCUGCGCCACCGAAAGCCUAAGGCCCCCGACAGCUAGUCAUCAUCGUUUACGGCGUGGACUAC
rnacentral:misc_RNA from 1 species